rnacentral:rRNA from 1 species
AAUAUUCGACAAUGGGGGCAACCCUGAUCCAGCCAUGCCGCGUGUGUGAAGAAGGUCNNNGGAUUNUCAAGCACUUUAAGUAGNGAGNAAGGGAUUGAGGUUAAUACCCUGAAGUGUGGACGUUACCAACAGAAUAAGCACCGGCCAACUCUGUGGCAGCAGCCGCGGUAAUACAGAGGGUGCAAGCGUUAAGCGGAAUUACUGGGCGUAAAGCGCGCGUAGGUGGUUCAGUAAGAUGGGUGUGAAAUCCCCGGGCUUAGCCUGGGAACUGCUUUCAUGACUGCUGAGCUAGAGUACGGUAGAGGGUAGUGGAAUUUCCUGUGUAGCGGUGAAAUGCGUAGAUAUAGGAAGGAACACCAGUGGCGAAGGCGACUACCUGGACUGAUACUGACACUGAGGUGCGAAAGCGUGGGGAGCAAAC